UACGAAGGGGGCUAGCGUUGUUCGGAAUUACUGGGCGUAAAGGGCGCGCAGGCGGCUCAUUUUGUCAGGCGUGAAAGCCCCGGGCUUAACCUGGGAGGUGCGUUUGAUACGGAUGGGCUAGAGUUCGGGAGAGGAGAGUGGAAUUCCCAGUGUAGAGGUGAAAUUCGUAGAUAUUGGGAAGAACACCGGCGGCGAAGGCGGCUCUCUGGGCCGAUACUGACGCUGAGGAGCGAAAGCGUGGGGAGCGAACAGG
rnacentral:rRNA from 1 species